rnacentral:rRNA from 1 species
GAGUUUGAUCAUGGCUCAGAUUGAACGCUGGCGGCAUGCCUUACACAUGCAAGUCGAACGGCAGCACGGGAGCUUGCUCCUGGUGGCGAGUGGCGAACGGGUGAGUAAUGCAUCGGAACGUAUCCUGGAGUGGGGGAUAACGUAGCGAAAGUUACGCUAAUACCGCAUAUUCUGUGGGCAGGAAAGCGGGGGACCUUCGGGCCUCGCGCUCUUGGAGCGGCCGAUGUCGGAUUAGCUAGUUGGUGAGGUAAAGGCUCACCAAGGCGACGAUCCGUAGCAGGUCUGAGAGGAUGAUCUGCCACACUGGAACUGAGACACGGUCCAGACUCCUACGGGAGGCAGCAGUGGGGAAUUUUGGACAAUGGGGGCAACCCUGAUCCAGCCAUGCCGCGUGAGUGAAGAAGGCC